UUUAUGACUUAUUUCCCUCAUCCUUAUCCCAUAAGUCCUUUUCUUCAAGAGAGUUCAAGAAGAGAGAAGAAGAAAAAGAAACCUUGAGCUAGAGAGAGAGAGCUUGGAUUUGGGAGGAAAAAAUAGCAAAAAUGAGCUUCAAACAGUCCGCAACUUUCAGCACGCUAAAGAGGUUUCUGAGGCACAAUUUUGGCUAGUUUUGGCCAAUUUUGGGUAAGGUUCAAAGGACGACGAGGCGAACGGGAUAAAGAGUAACCCGUAAGAGGUACAGAUACACUGUUUGGGGAUCCGCCAGCAUAGGAGUCCUACUCAGCUGUCUGGAAGUGCUCCAUUGUGCUGGAGCCUGAUUUUGGGUACUAAACCUUAUUGUCUAUAUUUGUUUUGCUCACGGGUACGACGGGGGCCCUGUCCUGCCUUAUGUUACUAUUUUCUUACUCUUAGAGGUCUAUGGGUACGGAUGUGGGUUGUAUGUAUGUGGAUUGUAUGUGUAUGUGGAUUGUACGGAUGUGGGUUGUACGUAUGUGGGUUUUAUGUGUACGUGGGUUGUAUAUGAGGUGUGUAUGAGCUGCAUACGAGUUGUAUACGAGUGGUAGAUGAGUUGUAUAUAUAUGUAUGUACAGUUGUACUAAUAUGACUUAUGAUUUGGGGGCGUUCCCUGUGUCGUGGCGGCCUUGUCGGCUCAUGUAUAUGCGUGUUAUGGAACAACCCUAUACAUUACUACAGCCUUGUCGACUUGUGUGUUUUCUUACCUGUUGGUGCAUUUUGAGUACAAAUAGGAGGUGGGUUAUGUAUAGUUGGCAGGGGUACAUGUGUGUGUACAGUUCAGGCACUCGUCACGGCCUACGGGGUUGGGUUGUGACAGAAGUGGUAUCAGAGCAGUCCUUCC